rnacentral:rRNA from 1 species
CGAGGGGCAGCACGGUAUAGCAAUAUAUGGGUGGCGACCGGCAAACGGGUGCGGAACACGUACACAACCUUCCGGUGAGCGGGGGAUAGCCCAGAGAAAUUUGGAUUAAUACCCCAUACUAUAAUGAUCAGGCAUCUGGUUAUUAUCAAAGGCUUCGGCCGCUUAUUGAUGGGUGUGCGUCUGAUUAGGUAGUUGGCGGGGUAGAGGCCCACCAAGCCUACGAUCAGUAGCUGAUGUGAGAGCAUGAUCAGCCACACGGGCACUGAGACACGGGCCCGACUCCUACGGGAGGCAGCAGUAAGGAAUAUUGGACAAUGGACGCAAGUCUGAUCCAGCCAUGCCGCGUGAAGGAUGAAUGCCCUCUGGGUUGUAAACUUCUUUUACAGGGGAAGAAAGUUAUCUUUUUUAGGAUAUUUGACGGUACCCUAUGAAUAAGCACCGGCUAACUCCGUGCCAGCAGCCGCGGUAAUACGGAGGGUGCAAGCGUUAUCCGGAUUCACUGGGUUUAAAGGGUGCGUAGGCGGGUAUGUAAGUCAGUGGUGAAAUACCGGAGCUUAACUUCGGAACUGCCAUUGAUACUAUAUAUCUUGAAUAUUGUGGAGGUAAGCGGAAUAUGUCAUGUAGCGGUGAAAUGCUUAGAGAUGACAUAGAACACCGAUUGCGAAGGCAGCUUACUACGCAAAUAUUGACGCUGAGGCACGAAAGCGUGGGGAUCAAACAGGAUUAGAUACCCUGGUAGUCCACGCCCUAAACGAUGAUUACUCGACAUUAGCGAUACACAGUUAGUGUCUGAGCGAAAGCAUUAAGUAAUCC